GGGAAUGAUGUGCGGAUCAUCCUUGGCCAGUUUGACCAGAAUAUGGCAGCAAAAGUGUUCUGUUGUGCAUAUGAGGA
rnacentral:sRNA from 1 species